UUGGUAUUUUUCGUAAAUCGUCAAAUGGAAGGACUCUAUUCGGCGUGUCGUCAGCUUCCUUAAUUUGUUGGAUGUAUUUUUUGAAGGCAAAAUAGGACAGAUCAGUUCAUCUUCCGCCGUAUAACAAUGCCUUGCAAUUAAGUUAUUGUGAUGGCAGCCAUGGUAACCUGUCAUUUUAUUUGAUAGUUGGCUCCAAAGUAUGAUGCAAUUUGCAAAGAUACAUUUUAUCCACGUACCUAAUGUGUUGUGUAAUAUCGUCUCACGGGGCAUAUACAAGCUGGGGUCUGCUUUUGUUUAUUCCCGUACUAAUCCAUGUGUGUUCCAUGUAAUAAACCUCUGAGUAGCAGUGUAUCGGUGUGCUGAUGUACCAUUUGAUCACACCUUUGGCGCCUA